GAGCUGCCUGCUCCAUGCACUACGACGGGGCAGCGAUCUGGUUGGCAGUUGGGGGUUGCGAAAUACCAUUUCCCGAGGCUGUGAAGGUCCCGUCGGCAGUAACAGCUGUGGCGAGAAAAUCCGAAGAAGUGUCUCCGGCAGCUUCGGGAGCUCAAGCAUGUCCGUGAGAGGGCCUCAAAGUCUCUUCAAAGACCUACGUUAUCUCUACACAGAGAUUCUACUUCUCAUAACAGACAGAGGAUAAACAGCAGUAGGCAUAAUACAUGGAGUUUCCCCCACUCUUAUUCUCCCGGCCUUGGCAUUCCCAGCUACAAGGUUCCUUGAGCAAAUCUACCAUCCUCCUCACCAUUCUUCUACUUUUAAACCUUUCCUCCCAACAGUGUCUGAAGCAGACAACCUUUCAGUGAAAAAUGUGUAUUUAUGAUUGGCUUUUUGCAAAUAUUAAAAUGAAUAUUAUAUGUUAUGUUAGAAAGUGAUGCUGUAUUAAUUUUAAGUAGUGUGUUAAAUAUAGUUUUAGAUUAUAACAAAAUGUUAAAAUAGAAACUAUGCUAUGUAAGAUACUUUUUUUAAAGGAAGGACUCACACUGAGAUAGCAGCCACAGGACACCCACAUCUUUCAGAGAAAAAGAAUUUAUUGCUCUCUUAUCAGAAGAAACUAACUUCUUCCCACCUCACUCAGCCCUGAAGACACCAUUAGGAUUAAGAGGAAGAAGCUGACACUGACCAGACAGAAUCCUUUGUUUGAAUGGAAUUUAUGUAUAAUGUAUGAGAUGUAUGAAUAUGCAACAGGUUAUUGCUUUUAAGGGUUAAUCCUCUGUUAAUGGGUGUCCUUUUUCGGGCUUAUUUUGCCCAGAAAAAGGUACCCGGACUGUCCUAACUGUUUGUUUCUAUUGUCUCAUAUUGUCCUAAUCCUAAUUGUCCAAAUUUUUAUUACUCUAAUUAUAUUACUAUUUUUAUAAUCAUUUUAUUACUGUUAAACUUUUAAAAUUUUAAAACCAAGUGAUUGGCGUUUUUCACAAUUUCCACACGAUGAGUCUCUUGCCAGAAGCAUACAGAUUUAGUUUGGGACUACAAGCCAGGACCCUUUGAGCUAACUCAGUCAGUCUCCCCAUCCCCAGCUGCUGAAGUCUCCCUGCACCAGGUUGGCAUGAGGCCUUUAAGGCCUCUAAGACUCAAAAUUACUGUUGGAUAAAGUUGGAUUCCCAAAGGAGUGAAAAAGACUAGAUCUCAUUUUCUAAUAGAGCCAAGGCUUUAUUUUAAUUUGUCUUACUGUGUCCUUUUUCCAGAGUGAACAUUUGCAGUCAUGGCCUUGAUGCUGCCUAGAGCUGCUGUGAGCCUGUGGGCUAUGCCCUGGGUUUGUGGGAGACCAAGGGCAGAGAUUUCCUCAUUCCUUUGAAAUGGGCAUAGACUGUGCUGCUGUAUACAGUGGGGCCAGCUCUGUGCUCUCUGCUCCAGGGAGCUGGUGUCAGAGCCAGACCAUCUCAUAAUGUGAAGGGUUUGUCAAAUUGUCUGUACUUUGUACCUGUAUUUGUAUACUGGUGCUUUACUUGAUCACUGUAGUUUGGAGCCCAGAGAAGUGGUUUUGCCUGAAGCAUGCAGCUCUAGGUCUGACUUCAAUAACCUUGCACUAGCCAGGGAAGGUGGCAGUGUUGAGACCUGUGCCUGUGUGUCCCCUCUAUCCCCGGGGGGAGGGGUCUGUCCUAACCACACUGCAUGGCUCUGGGCUCCUUUGUGAGACAGUGAGCAAGGGUGAAGGGGCACCUACUCCCACCUGGUGUUUGGUGCAGCUAAUUUUGUAUGAGGAAGGUCCCACAACCACAUUAGCCAAGCUUUUGGCAAGCCUUCUCUCCCACAAGAGGGAAGAAAUAGUUUGGAACUGCAAGGCAAAGGGUGAGUUGAGGGAAACAGGACAUGACUGAGAAGUGUGAAGUAGGAGCUGCUGAGGCCUACCUUGAAUGCUGAAGGGGCCCUAAGAGGACUUUGCCCUGCAAUUCCUUCAGAAAAAGUAACUCAGACAGUGAGGGAUGAACAGAAGGGAUUGAAAACCCAGAUGCUGGGGGAAAACACUGUCUUGGUUCUGGCCAAGACAGGGUUCACUUUUGCAGUAGUCGGGAGGGAGGUUAUUCUAUACCACCUCACAUCAUUGCCGGGGGCGGGGGAAAGGGAUUCUUGCUUCUGAGAAGGGGUUCCUCCAGGCUGAGAAAACGUGGCAGACUAGUCUGGCAUUUGUUUAUUGUUGGGGGCUUUCCAUGUAAAUUGGUUUUUUUUCUUAUACCUUUUGUUAUUAAUAUUGUUGCUGCUACUGUUCAGUUUUCUGAUUUCAUUGCUGUUUCCAGUAAAUUGUUCUUAUCUCAA